UACGCUGCUAAACUACCUCGGCUUUAACUAUUACGUAAUUGAUAUGUUAUUUGUUGCAAGAAGUCUUAGGAUUAUACCUCAAUAUGUGUUUUUUGUUUGUUUGUUUGUUUUUUUACCUCAGAGAUCAGCGCGAUACUCUCACCAAGCAGGAAUGUUUAGAUGAUGCAUGCUCUGACAAGAAGAAGCAUCCCACAGAGCAGGUCACCCCAAAGAUUGUCUCACUUCACCAUAACAUCACACCAGGCACUUUGACAGUGAAGGAUCAAAGAACACAACACAAC